GAAAGCAGCCUGCCCCCAGUGGAGGGAGAUGGAUUAGAUCCGUGGUCCUAACCUGGGGUACGCAUAACCCUGGGGGUACACAGGUCUUCCAGGUAGUACAUCUAGUCAUCUAGAUAUUUGCCUAGUUUUACAACAGGCUCCAUAAAAAGCACUAGUGAAGUCAGUACAAACUAAAAUUUCAUAUGGACAAUGACUUGUUUAUACUGCUCUAUAGACCAUACACUGAAAUCCCUGAAUAAUCACAUCAUCCUGCCGUCUUUCAACCUGCAUGUUCCUUGUACAAGUUCAGAACAGAGUUGACAGAGUUCAGAACCUGAAUGAACUCCUGAAACUGAGGGCUGGAAUAAUGUUGUCUUAUAAAUAUAUAAUGCCUUGACCUGGAGGAAGAGGCGAGAAAUAGAAACAUGAAAAGGAGCUUAUAUGGAACUGUGCUGUCUUCAGGUGGAUAUAACAUUUUGCAUUUUUCUGGAUCCUUUGGAAGAAAGAAAGGACUCAACAGAUGUGUAUUUGUUUUAAGUUUUUUGAAGCCUCUGUUAUUAGUGGAAGGCCUGUGCAGAGAAGCAUGUCCUGCCCUGUCUUUAAAAAGCAAGACUUGAUUUAUGCUAAUCUUUGGAAGCAGGAAGUUCAACAACCAGGAAUCUUUUACUGAUAAUUCUUUCCCCAACACUCAGAUGUUUCAUCCAAGGCUCCAUCAGUCAUAGCUCUGCUAUAGAUCAAAGAAUUCUGCAGUAGAUAUUGUACGCAGAAAGGCCAUCCUUGUGGUAGUCCAGUCCUGGUGCUUUGCAGAUUAAGAACAAGACCUUGAUGUUGCUUAAGUACUGAACUGGGAGACAAUGUGGAAUACGAAGAGAACAUAUCAUCUUGAUGUUCCAGUCAGAAGAUGGGUUGCUACAUAUUGGAACUACUGAAGCUUUUGUGUUCCAGGCCUCAGAAAGGUGAUCUCUGUUACUUUCCACCCCUUCAGAAAGGUACUCCAGCCUGGUUCUAUUUGCAGGGUUGCAAAGAAUCUUCUGUCUGAGGGAGUUAUUCCUAUGAAAGGCCAGAAGAACUCUCUAGUGCCUCUGUAGGAUGAGUUUAUUAAUAUCCUCCUUGAAUUGUGGACAUCAGAACUGGAUAGUGAUUCCAGCAGUGAUCACACCAGCCGCAGAUAUACAGGAUGUGUUGGUGCCCCCAGCAGGCUCUGAGGGAAAUAAAACGUCUACCAAGAGGCUAAAGUUGGUUCCUUACUCCAAUUCCUUAUUUGUGGCUCCCAAAGGCCAAAAUUAUUUUAAGAAUAUCGGUGUAAGAUUAAAUUUCUAGAAACUUCAUCAAAUUAAUGUGAUUGUGACAAAUGUUAAUUACUAAUUAAUUAAAUAAGAAGCUGAGUUUUGAUAGACAGUAUAUGACAACAUAAGUUUCUGAUCACUUUUCUUGAUUGUGGAAGCACAGCUCUUCGUACAUCCAAAAAAGCUCCUCUUAAAGAACUCUCAAUUUUCAUUUACAUUUUUCUGUCUAAUUUUUCUCCCAAUCAAUUUCAUUCAUAAUUUUCCUCAGCUUUGGGAGAUUAGCCCUCUUGUAGAACCAAGUCUAUAUAUAUUACUGGUUGGGACUGUUCUCUGUGUUUGCCUAUAUUGAAUGUAAUCAGGUCAUGAUCACUGGUCCCCUACCACCAACAUCCAGUGCAGUGAUUAAUUCACCAUUACCUGUCAUAAUGACACCCAAAAUGGAGCUACCUCCUGCUGUAUGCAGUACCUCAUGUGUUAGAAAGUUAUCUAUAAUUUCUAAUAACUGGAAUGAUGUUUUAUUAGUGGCUGCAUGAGGCCUCCAGCGUGUCUCCUAAAUUGAAUUCCCCCAUAACAGCACCAUUUCUGUCAACACAUUAAGCAUUGGUCUGUAAGGAGUAACUCAUAUUGUUCUCAGGUUUGAUUUAGUGGCCUGUAACAGACCCUAUCCUAGGCUUUAUUAAUUAGCACAUUGAUCCAUGUACAUGCAAGACCCUGUGGUUCUGAAUUAUUCUAAAACAGAUAAUGGUGUUUUUAAAUUAAGGUGCUACUCCCCCCCUCCCUCCAAAACCCAACAUAUACCUCUUUUACCCACUCUAUUCUUCCUAAACAGGUUAAAACCAAUCAUUUGGUGAAUUGUGAAUUGUUCAACCAGGUUUCUGUAAUGCUAAUUAUAUAAAAACAUUUUUCUCAUAGACUUUAAGGCCAGAAUGAUCAUCUAGUAUGACUUCCUGCACAUCACUGGCCACAGAACCUCACCAACCUACUCCUGCAAUAGGUCCAUAACCUCUGACUGCGGUACUGAAGUUCGCAAAUCUUGAUUUUUAAAGACUUCAAGCUACACAGAAUCCACCAUUUACUUUAGUUAAAACCAGCAAGUAACCCAUGCUGCAAGAAUGAGAAUUUGUAAUUCUUCUUUUUUGAUAGCUAGAAAGCAUUGGUAUAUAAGCAAUUGAAAAAUUCCUCUUUGUGUUUUUUGCCAUAUCAGUUCAAUUUGCUCAUGACCUCUUAAGUUUGAGUUCUCCUUGCACUGGUAGUUUAAUGUCUUCCUUGCUGCUCCAGGUAGUCUCCAGCCAAGAAUGUCAGCCCCCUACCUGUGACAUGCAGGCCCAUACAGUUGUACAGUCACCUCUCCCAAGGGAAUGUGGACCAAUGUUCCACAAAAUCAAAACCUUCAGUCUCAGACCAAUUGUGCAGCCAACAGUUCACCUCCAGUAUUUUCUUCCUUCCCUCACUCAUUGGACCUGUAGGAUCUACAAGACCAUGUGAACUUUCCUUUUCUUCCACUCCAUUCCAAGAUGCUAGAGGUCUUCUAUAAUCUGUGUAUUCCAUGGGAUACUCUGUCAUUGGUUCCAAUGUGUAUCGCUGUCAGUGGAGACUUGCAAGACAACUUCAUAAACCUAUCUAAUCCUGUGGUUACAACUCAGGGAGACAGCAUGCCAUCCUAUUGUCCUUGUGUCCCUUACUGAAUUCUCUGUCCACCCUUCUCAAUAUGUAAUCGCUAGUGUCGAUUGUCUGCAUUCUUAGGAUGACUGAAGAAAACCUCUUGACUGCUGCUUAUUUCACACUGAAAGAACACACAUCAGGUAUGUUGCUGGCAGCUUUCUGUUCCAUUCCUCCAGAGACAGAUUCUUCCAUAGCUGACUUGCUGAGUACUUGAAAAUGUUUUGAUACUUUUUGUUGAGUUAAAUGUCUCCUGGCUCUCUUUCCUCUCUUGGUCACAAUUGCUUGUCCACUUCUUUGGUUUCUACUUUCUCUAAUUCUCUUAUUGCCGAUCUUUCCCCUGGAGGUAUCUGUGAUAAUGAUUUCCAUAUCUGGUUAAGAACAUAAUAAUGGCCAUACUGGGUCAGACCAAUGGUCCAUCUUGCCCAGUAUCCUGUCUUCUGACAGUGGCCAAUGACAGGUGCUUCAGAGGGAAUGAACAGAACAGGCAAUCAAGUGAUCCAUC